rnacentral:snRNA from 1 species
GGAUGUGAGGGCGAUCUGGCUGCGACAUCUGCCACCCCAUUGAUCGCCAGGGUUGAUUCGGCUGAUCUGGCUGGCUAGGCGGGUGUCCCCUUCCUCCCUCACCGCUCCAUGUGCGUCCCUCCCGAAGCUGCGCGCUCGGUCGAAGAGGACGACCAUCCCCGAUAGAGGAGGACCGUUCUUCGGUCAAGGGUAUACGAGUAGCUGCGCUCCCCUGCUAGAACCUCCAAACAAGCUCUCAAAUGAAAUAGUUCAGGAAAUACAACCAAACCAAUAUAAAAAAAUGAUCAGAAUCUUUAAAAUUCU